GACGAACGCUGGCGGCGUGCUUAACACAUGCAAGUCGAACGGUGAAGGGGUCUGCUUUUGUGGGCCCUGGAUGAGUGGCGAACGGGUGAGUAACACGUGAGUAACCUGCCCCCUUCUUCUGGAUAACCGCAUGAAAGUGUGGCUAAUACGGGAUAUUCUGGGUCUGUCGCAUGAUGGGUCUGGGAAAGAUUGCGCCUUUGGGUGUUUUUGGUGGGGGAUGGGCUCGCGGCCUAUCAGCUUGUUGGUGGGGUGAUGGCCUACCAAGGCGGUGACGGGUAGCCGGCCUGAGAGGGUGGACGGUCACACUGGGACUGAGACACGGCCCAGACUCCUACGGGAGGCAGCAGUGGGGAAUAGUGCACAAUGGGCGCAAGCCUGAUGCAGCGACGCCGCGUGAGGGAGGGAGGCCUUCGGGUUGUAAACCUCUUUCGCCAGUGAAGCAGGCCUGCUCCUUGUGGGUGGGUUGACGGUAGCUGGAGAAGAAGCGCCGGCUAACUACGUG
rnacentral:rRNA from 1 species